UACGGAGGGGGCUAGGCGUUGUUCGGAAUUACUGGGCGUAAAGCGCAACGUAGGCGGCUUUGUAAGUUAGAGGUGAAAGCCCAGGGCUUAACCCUGGAAUUGCCUUUAAGACUGCAUCGCUAGAAUUGUGGAGAGGUAAGUGGAAUUCCGAGUGUAGAGGUGAAAUUCGUAGAUAUUCGGAAGAACACCAGUGGCGAAGGCGACUUACUGGACACAUAUUGACGCUGAGGUGCGAAAGCGUGGGGAGCAAACAGG
rnacentral:rRNA from 1 species